UACAGAGGGGGCAAGCGUUAUUCGGAAUUAUUGGGCGUAAAAGGGCGCGUAGGCGGCUUUGGCAAGUGGAUGGUGAAAUCCCUCGGCUUAACCGAGGAACUGCCGUCCAAACUGCUUCGCUUGAGACCGGGAGAGGUGAGUGGAAAUUCCCAGUGUAGCGGUGAAAUGCGUAGAUAUUGGGAGGAACACCAGUGGCGAAGGCGGACUCACUGGACCGGUACUGACGCUGAUGCGCGAAAGCGAUGGGAGCA
rnacentral:rRNA from 1 species